rnacentral:rRNA from 2 species
CUUGACGACCAUAGAGCAUUGGAACCACCUGAUCCCAUCCCGAACUCAGUAGUGAAACGAUGUAUCGCCGAUGG